GAGUUUGAUYCUGGCUCAGGACGAACGCUGGCGGCGUGCUUAACACAUGCAAGUCGAACGGAAAGGCCCCCACCAUUUUUGGUGGGGGUGCUCGAGCGGCGAACGGGUGAGUAACACGUGGGUGAUCUGCCCUGUACUUCGGGAUAAGCUUGGGAAACUGGGUCUAAUACCGGAUAGGACCAUGGUUUAGUGUCUCAUGGUGGAAAAAUUAUUGUUUUGGUGCAGGAUGAGCUCGCGGCCUAUCAGCUUGUUGGUGGGGUAAUGGCCUACCAAGGCGUCGACGGGUAGCCGGCCUGAGAGGGUGGACGGCCACAUUGGGACUGAGAUACGGCCCAGACUCCUACGGGAGGCAGCAGUGGGGAAUAUUGCACAAUGGGCGCAAGCCUGAUGCAGCGACGCCGCGUGAGGGAUGGAGGCCUUCGGGUUGUGAACCUCUUUCGCCAGUGAAGAAGGUCCUGCUCUUUGUGGUGGGGUCGACGGUAGCUGGGUUAAUGAAGCGCCGGCUAACUACGUGCCAGCAGCCGCGGUAAUACGUAGGGCGCGAGCGUUGUCCGGAAUUAUUGGGCGUAAAGGGCUUGUAGGCGGCUGGUCGCGUCUGCCGUGAAAUCCUCUGGCUCAGCUGGGGGCGUGCGGUGGGUACGGGCUGGCUUGAGUGCGGUAGGGGAGACUGGAACUCCUGGUGUAGCGGUGGAAUGCGCAGAUAUCAGGAGGAACACCGGUGGCGAAGGCGGGUCUCUGGGCCGUUACUGACGCUGAGGAGCGAAAGCGUGGGGAGCGAACAGGAUUAGAUACCCUGGUAGUCCACGCUGUAAACGUUGGGCACUAGGUGUGGGGGGCCUUUUCCGGGUUUUCCGCGCCGUAGCUAACGCAUUAAGUGCCCCGCCUGGGGAGUACGGCCGCAAGGCUAAAACUCAAAGGAAUUGACGGGGGCCCGCACAAGCGGCGGAGCAUGCGGAUUAAUUCGAUGCAACGCGAAGAACCUUACCUGGGUUUGACAUGCACCAGACGGUUGUAGAGAUACGUACCUCCCUUUGUGGUUGGUGUGCAGGUGGUGCAUGGUUGUCGUCAGCUCGUGUCGUGAGAUGUUGGGUUAAGUCCCGCAACGAGCGCAACCCUUGUCUUAUGUUGCCAGCACUUUGGGUGGGGACUCAUGAGAGACUGCCGGGGUUAACUCGGAGGAAGGUGGGGAUGACGUCAAAUCAUCAUGCCCUUUAUGCCCAGGGCUUCACACAUGCUACAAUGGUUAGUACAACGCGCUGCGAACCUGUGAGGGUGAGCGAAUCGCUGAAAGCUAAUCUCAGUUCGGAUUGGGGUCUGCAACUCGACCCCAUGAAGUCGGAGUCGCUAGUAAUCGCAGAUCAGCAAUGCUGCGGUGAAUACGUUCCCGGGCCUUGUACACACCGCCCGUCACGUCAUGAAAGUUGGUAACACCCGAAGCCCAUGGCCUAACCACCAUUUGGUGGGGGGAGUGGUCGAAGGUGGGAUUGGCGAUUGGGACGAAGUCGUAACAAGGUAGCCGUACCGGAAGGUGCGGYUGGAWCACCUCCUUC
rnacentral:rRNA from 1 species